rnacentral:rRNA from 1 species
AACGAACGCUGGCGGCAUGCCUAACACAUGCAAGUCGAACGAGACCUUCGGGUGUAGUGGCGCACGGGUGCGUAACGCGUGGGAACCUGCCCUUAGGUUCGGAAUAACUCCCCGAAAGGGGUGCUAAUACCGGAUAAUGUCUUCGGACCAAAGAUUUAUCGCCUUUGGAUGGGCCCGCGUUGGAUUAGCUAGUUGGUAGGGUAAAAGCCUACCAAGGCGACGAUCCAUAGCUGGUCUGAGAGGAUGAUCAGCCACACUGGGACUGAGACACGGCCCAGACUCCUACGGGAAGCAGCAGUGGGGAAUAUUGGACAAUGGGCGAAAGCCUGAUCCAGCAAUGCCGCGUGAGUGAUGAAGGCCUUAGGGUUGUAAAGCUCUUUUACCCGGGAUGAUAAUGACAGUACCGGGAGAAUAAGCUCCGGCUAACUACGUG